rnacentral:rRNA from 1 species
CCUCUCAUAAAUCCAUCUCACCCCUUUGUGCAUCACCGCGUGGGUCCCCUUUGCAGGAGGGCUCACGUUUUCACACAAAACUUGAUACAGUGUAGAAUGUUAUCUUUGCGGUCACACGCAAUCAAUACAACUUUCAACAACGGAUCUCUUGGCUCUCGCAUCGAUGAAGAACGCAGCGAAAUGCGAUACGUAAUGUGAAUUGCAGAAUUCAGUGAAUCAUCGAAUCUUUGAACGCACCUUGCGCCCCUUGGCAUUCCGAGGGGCACACCCGUUUGAGUGUCGUGAAAUUAUCAAAAACCCUUUUCUGUUUACUGAAAAGGAUUUUUGGACUUGGAGGUUUAAUGCUUGCCUUUCACAUUUGAAAGUGAGCUCCUCUCAAAUGAAUUAGUGGGGUCCGCUUUGUCGGUCCUUGACGUGAUAAGAUGUUUCUACGUUUUGGAUUUGGCACUGUCCCU